rnacentral:tRNA from 1 species
AGCCCUGUAGCUCAAAAGUAGAGCAUCAGACUUUGACUCUGAACGUGCUGGUGCGAGUCCAGCCGGGGUUGCCA